rnacentral:rRNA from 1 species
UGGGGAAUAUUGGACAAUGGGCGCAAGCCUGAUCCAGCCAUGCCGCGUGAGUGAUGAAGGCCUUAGGGUUGUAAAGCUCUUUCGCCGGUGAAGAUAAUGACGGUAACCGGAGAAGAAGCCCCGGCUAACUUCGUGCCAGCAGCCGCGGUAAUACGAAGGGGGCUAGCGUUGCUCGGAAUCACUGGGCGUAAAGCGCACGUAGGCGGGUCGUUAAGUCAGAGGUGAAAGCCUGGAGCUCAACUCCAGAACUGCCUUUGAUACUGGCGAUCUAGAGUUCGAGAGAGGUUGGUGGAACUCCGAGUGUAGAGGUGAAAUUCGUAGAUAUUCGGAAGAACACCAGUGGCGAAGGCGGCCAACUGGCUCGAUACUGACGCUGAGGUGCGAAAGCGUGGGGAGCAAACAGG